AAUUUAAUACAAGCAUAUGGUGAAAUGCAGCAGUUCAGCAUUUCUUAAAAGGGAAGUCCGGUGAAAGUCCGGUACGGUCGCGCCACUGUAAUGGGGAGUUUUUCAUAAAACCACUGUUUCAUUUGAAAUGGGAAGGAAUGAAAAACGCUGAACCAGAGUCAGGAGACCUGCCAUAUGUACGCACUUUUU
rnacentral:ncRNA from 2 species